rnacentral:lncRNA from 1 species
CUUUCCAGGCAGGCUCCCCCACACUGAUGCUACAUUCCUCUCUACGGGAACCAAAAGUCCCUCUCUGUUACCCAGCUGGGACCUCAAAAGCCAUCAGGAUCACCUUUUGAUGGACAAGAGGACAAAGUAGCACUGUCACCAUGAGUUGGGCACUUGCCAAAGUUGCUGCAUCUCACAGGGACAACUCAACCAAAUAUAGAGGAAAGAUUCCCGUCAGCCUCCCAUCUUGCUCCUUCACACACUCGAGCAUGAUAUAUUUUUAAUGGAGAAAAUGCAAAACAGGGGACUUUUUACUUCCCAAAUAAUGAAAUGGCAGAAACAAAGCACACUGCCCACACCAUCAGCAAAACAGUGAUGGUGGGUGUGCACAGAGCCGUGCCUUAAAAGACAUUGAUAUAAUGUGAUGCAAUACAGAGAUGCAGAGAGGUGGAACACACUGGAGAUCCUAGCAGACUCCCUGUGAGGAUACGGGUGCAGUCUGAUCUUCUGUAUGGAGGAGAUGGAAGAGGCACCGGGAGAAAGAAAACUGGGUGAAAAUGAAGAAUGUAGAGUCAAGGGUCCA